rnacentral:rRNA from 1 species
GAUGAACGCUGGCGGCGUGCCUAAUACAUGCAAGUCGAGCGAACGGACCCUACGCUUGCUUCUCUGAUGUUAGCGGCGGACGGGUGAGUAACACGUGGAUAACCUCCCUAUAAGACUGGGAUAACUUCGGGAAACCGGCGCUAAUACCGGAUGAUAUUUUGAACCGCAUGGUGCAAAAGUGAAAGACGGUCUUGCUGUCACUUAUAGCUGGAUCCGCGCUUCAUUAGCUAGUUGGUACGGUAACGGCUUACCAAGGCAACGAUGCAUAGCCGACCUGAGGGGGGGAUAGGCCACACGGGAACGGGACCGCGGUCCAGAGUCCUACGGGAGGCAGCAGUAGGGAAUCUUACGCAGUGGGCGGAAGCCUGGCGGAGCAACGCCGCGUGAGUGAUGAAGGUCUUCGGAUCGUGAAACUCUGUUAUUAGGGAAAAACAUAUGUGUAAGUAACUGAGCACAUCUUGACGGUACCGAAUCAGAAAGCAACGGCUAACUACGUG